UGUAAUGAUAAAUGUUUAUUUUAAAGAACACUUAUAUAAAGCUUUAAAAUUCAACUAUCAAAAUACAUUUUCAAACAUAAUGUCUGCAUUUAUUUCUGCACAUGUACCUUUUACUAUAAAAUAAUUUCAAUUACUAAGGAUAAACACAUUUGAACUUAUGGUGUUAUACUGAUGAGUUUGACUCCAUAAAUGAUCCCCUUUGACACUGCUAAGUAAGAUUCAGUGUAUAAAAUCUGGUGAAAUCACCUCAAUUAUUUGAUAGUCAUUAAUUUUAAAGAAAAUUACACAUACAAAUAAUUUAACAUCUACUGUAAGCUGUCAAAAACAAACUUAAGAUUUUACUGUUCUCUCUUUCUUGAUUUAUAUGUCAUUGUUCUUUUACUCCAGUGAAUUAUCUCAAUGAUGUCUUUGGCAGAGUGUUUGACAAGAUGGCUUGUGAGUCACAGUAUUGGGAAAGAUACUUUAAGCUUGACUGUGCUUACUGAUGUGUUUGCUGAUUAAGAAUGUUUGACAAACUGUGUCUCCUCUGUGGUGUAACCCACAAGUGUUUUCUCUGUGAGCUACAAAUGACAACAUCUCUAACAGUAGAAAGGCAACAUGGUACCUGUGUUUCCCCAACAGUACAGAUUUGUGACUAACACUCACAGGUCACAGAAAAUGAAACUUUAAUUCAGCACAUAUAAAUGGUCAGCUUCCCCAGGGAAGAAUCUUUAACAGAUAGACCAAUAUAGGAAACACAGUGGAGGAAUAUAAAAACUGCUAUUGUGCUCUUGAAAAUUGUAUGUUAUCUCAGCUGUUAAUUGUAGGUUUUGUGCCUUUUGUUUUAAUUCUAGAGAAGUGCAGAAGUAGAACCCUUUAUUAAGCUCAUCCAGUAUCAAUCUAUGAACAUCCCAAUUACAUGUUUGUUUGCAGGAAGUCAGGUUGAACUAAGUAAGGAACAUUUACCAGGAACGUGUUAUUGGAUAUAAAAGGAGAUGUGUGCCAAAACCAUGAUGGCCCUGGGCUCCAUGGAAUUUUUCCUGUUUUAUAUCUUCAUAACUCCCUUAAUUAUGUCCUAAAUACGGGCACAUUUUUGAAACAUGUUUGCAGUCUAAAACAACUAUUGUUUGGCAUUUAGAAAACUAGUUCUACUAUAUAGUUGUUAAGAUUUAAGAAAUAAAUACAGUUUUUCUUUUAUUGGCCUAAAUAAUAUUCACAAUUAUUUUAAAGCAUUUUAAUUUGUAUUGGGCAUCUGGGGUCUAACUCAUUAAGUAUCAAAAUGAGUAAUUUCAAAUACUGCUUCCUAAAUGUGUGAAAAUAUUUUAGACCGUCAAAGAGGAGAACAUAUUUCCCCAACCAUAUGCUGUCUUUAACAUCUGCUAAAGCAUUAGCCUUUUAGUGUGAAAACCUGUUGUAGGUUGAAAUGUAAACCUCAUUAGCAAUAAAAAUGUUUUGUCCGGUAAAGGAAAGAAGGAAAAUAAAGUUAAUGUGUUUAUUGAUUUAAGGCAUCAAUGAAAAUGAUUGCCAAGAAAAUUAAGGCAGUACGAUUUACUGACUAGAUUAAAUCAGCAGCUUUUCCAAAUUGUUUUAGUGAAUCUUAUAGGAAUCACAUUUGUCAACAUAAAAUUACCUGUUUUAUGUUUUCUGAAUGUGUGUGCAGUUGUGUGGCUUUGUGUGCAUGUUUUGCAUGCAUGUGAGUAUCCAGGUGCAAGUUGGCACUGGGAGCACAUUUAGAGGCUAAAGGAGAUCAUCGAUAUCUAUCUUACUGUGUCACUGAACCGCAAGCUUACUGACUUAACUAAGCUGGAGGACAUAUG
rnacentral:lncRNA from 1 species